rnacentral:rRNA from 1 species
GUGGGGAAUAUUGCACAAUGGGGGAAACCCUGAUGCAGCGACGCCGCGUGAGUGAAGAAGUAUUUCGGUAUGUAAAGCUCUAUCAGCAGGGAAGACAAUGACGGUACCUGACUAAGAAGCCCCGGCUAACUACGUGCCAGCAGCCGCGGUAAUACGUAGGGGGCAAGCGUUAUCCGGAUUUACUGGGUGUAAAGGGAGCGUAGACGGCUGUGCAAGUCUGAAGUGAAAGGCCAUGGCUCAACUAUGGGAUUGCUUUGGAAACUGUAUAGCUGGAGUACCGGAGGGGUAAGCGGAAUUCCUGGUGUAGAGGUGAAAUUCGUAGAGAUCAGGAAGAACACCGGUGGCGAAGGCGGCUUACUGGACGGCAACUGACGUUGAGGCUCGAAAGCGUGGGGAGCAAACAGGAUUAGAAACCCUAGUAGUCC